rnacentral:lncRNA from 1 species
UUAAAAUGGGUAAGAAAGGGUUAAAAAGGGGUUAAAUUUGAAAUUGAGGUUCCUGGUUUAUACUGUUUCAUACUGGUCCAUACUGGUUUAUACUGGUUUAUACUGGGAGGGGAGAAAGGGUGAAAAAAGGACAAAAAAUGGGUUAAAAUAUGUCCAAAAUUGGCUAAAAAUUGGUUUAAAAAGGGGUUAAAUUUGGAAUUAGGGUUACUGGCUCAUACUGGUUUAUACUGGUUUAUACUGGUUUAUACUGGUUUAUACUGGGAGGGGGAAAUAGGGAAAAAAAGGCGAAAAAUGGGUUAAAAUAUGUCCAAAAAUCGUUAAAAAGGUGGUUAAAAAGGGGUUAAAUGUGUAUUUAGACUCCAUACUGGUUCAUAGUGGUUUAUACUGGUUAACCCCGCAGGUCGCUGGGGGCGGGGCAGACGCUCCGGCUCAGCCAAUCAGUGACGCCGCUGCGCGCAGGGCAGCGCCGCCUGGCGGCCACGCUGGAGAGCGCAGCGCUGCCGCCGCUGACCGGCAGCGUCCAGUUCGACGUGGCCGCGGGGGAAACUGGGGAAACUGGGAAUACUGGGAAUACUGGGAAUACUGGGAGGAGGAGGAGGAGGAGGAGGGGGAGGCCGGGAGGCAGCACGGGGGGGUGAGCUGGUUUGUACUGGGAGCACUGGUUUGUACUGGGAGCACUGGUUUGUACUGGGAGGGGGUUUGGGUCGUACUGGGAGCACUGGUUUGUACUGGGAGCCAUUUCGGGUCAUACUGGUUUUUACUGGGAGGGGUUUUGGGUCAUACUGGGAGCACUGGGAGCCAUACUGGUUUGUACUGGGAGCACUGGGAGCCAUACUGGGUCAUACUGGGAGCCAUACUGGUCCAUACUGGGAGCACUGGGAGCCAUUUCGGGUCAUACUGGGAGCACUGGGAGCCAUACUGGGAAUACUGGGAGCC